UACGUAGGGGGCAAGCGUUGUCCGGAAUCAUUGGGCGUAAAGAGCGUGUAGGCGGCCCGAUAAGUCCGCUGUGGAAAGUCCCAGGGCUCAACCCCUGGAAUGCCGGUGGAUACUGUCGGGCUCGAAUCCGGAAGAGGUGAGUGGAAUUCCUGGUGGUAGCGGUGAAAUGCGCAGAUAUCAGGAGGAACACCAAUGGCGAAGGCAGCUCACUGGGACGGUAUUGACGCUGAGACGCGAAAGCGUGGGGGAGCAAACAGG
rnacentral:rRNA from 1 species